ACUUCAUGAUUUGGGAAUUGAGCAAGCUUACUGUUAAACCUCUCCCAAGCUUCAAAUAACUCUCCAUUCAUUUGCCAAAAAUUCAUAAUCUCAUCUUGCUUUU
rfam:Capsicum annuum cultivar Zunla-1 chromosome 2, whole genome shotgun sequence